rnacentral:lncRNA from 13 species
GUUCAGGCAAUUCUCCUGCCUCAGCCUCCUGAGUAGCUGGGAUUACAGGCAUGCACCACUGUACCCAGCUAAUUUUUGUAUUUUUAAUAGAGACGGGGUUUCACCAUGUUGACCCGGAUGGUCUCGAUCUCUUGACCUCGUGAUCCACCUGUCUUGGCCUCCCAAAGUGCUGGGAUUACAGGCGUGAGCCACCGCACCCGGCCUUUAACCUGUUUUAUCAUGUUAAUUCUGUAAGUUAAAUACUAUUCUUAUCUUCAUUUUACAGAUGAUAAAACUGAGGCCUAGAGGGUUGUGACUUAUCCAAGGUCAUGUAAGUGGCAAAGUUAGAAUUUGAACACAAACAUUUUAGCCCCAGAGCUCAUACUCUCCUCCACUCUACCUUAAUUCCAAAAAUUAAGUAUGAGAAUGUAUGCUGACAUGCAGCUAUGGACACAAAUGUUUUCAGAGCCACGUUGGUUGGAGUCCAGUGGAAAAGUCACAAACAUUGAAGGAAACCAGUUAACAAGUUUUUCAGCUUCUGAGACAUGUCCUUGAAAAAUACCUCUCCCAAAGUGCUAAAGAUGGACAUCUUGGACACAUGGAAAAGCUGAAGAGGGAGAUAGGAAGAGGAGAAGAGGAGAAAAGGAAAACAAGCAGAUGUUUUCAAGCUUCAGCAGGAAAUUCAUGCCAUUGAUUUUUCUCGUCGAAACCUGCCUGAGGAUGACUCAAUUGCCCAUGAUAUUGUGGACACCUUGUCUUCCUGGGUAAGUGGAGUUCAUCUCCCAUCCUUUUCCUCUUUAAUUGGUAUUGGAGUGGUUUUACUCCUUCUUAUUGUCCUUCUCCAGGUACUCUUUCACCUUGUGUUCUCCUCCCUUCAACAAUUGUGGCUCAAGCUUUUUGAGUUGCAUCUAAAAACAAAAGGGGGAACUGAGGGAUCUGUCGGGAUUGCUCCCGUGUGAGGCCCCUAGGAAAUGGGCCUCGCCAUACGGUGAGCUUGAGCCCGGACACAGAUCCCCGGUUGGGGGAGUCAAGCUGAGGGAAAUCAGGAACCGAGAGAGGGACUAUGCUAUUCAAAAUAAUUAACAGACAUUACUUUAUGAUAUGAGGACUUGGGAGGCAUUGUGUCCACUUUCGGCUCCUUAUGGUUUAUUGCUUGAUUGUGUUCAUUUUGGACCCUUGUUACCUUCAUUGUAAAAUAUUAACUUAAGUAUUUACACUUGGUAACUUACCGUAACUUACUGGGUGUAACUGUAACUUACCAUAACUUACUGGGCGUAACUGUAACUUGCUUACCUUGUGACUUAACUUAAGUAUUUACAAUUGUUAAGUACUUACUAGGUGUAACUUACUUACUGUAACUUACUAGGCGUAACUGACUUACUGGGCUUAACUUACUUACUGGGCAUAACUUAGUGGGCGUAACUUGCUUACUGUGACUUAAGUAUGUUGAUCUGGCAUAAACAACAUUAACUUCAGAAAAGUAUAUAAUGGAACAUAUUGCAAAAAUAAAAUUGCUGCUUGGACACA